rnacentral:misc_RNA from 1 species
UUGGAACCGGGCACCGUGCAAAAUCACAACCGCACUGUCCUAGACUGGCUCCGGAGGUGGAUCUCCGUUAACACCUUCUCUGGAUUGGAUCAUCACUUCUGUUUGUUCUUUGGUCAAGUCUUGUUGUUCCUUUGUUACGUUUAGAUCCUGAUCUGCGAUAAAACUACGACGAACCGCACCAUUCACCACCGAGGAUAAAUCUGCGUUUCUUUGUUGAGUAUCUCUCCAGGGAGUGGGACCGCUUCGACGAUAUUGAUAGAACUUAUAUUGUCAUUUACAAUAUGUCGAUUAUAGAAAUCGUAUGUAAAUUAUUUCUGUUAUCCCGUAUCAUGCAUAAAGAAUAGUAUAUUAAAUAAUAUCAUUACGACGAAAACGCUAAAAGGAAAUAAAAUCAAUUGUAUUAAAAUCAUGAUAUUACCUGAACGAAACUGCCGGGCGUGACGAUGAUCUUAUAAAUUGCGAUGCCGGGUAUCAUGGCAAUUGAGGAAGUCGCAAUUAACCAGCCUAAUACAUUUGCCCAGACAGGGUACACGUAAUCCUCAUAAGUCAGUGGUUCAUAACCCAUUAAACCGUAAACGAUGAUAAACUGUAACAAUAUAAAAAAUUAAUUUUUUGGGAAAGGACAUGUAGAAAAGGAUAGAGAAUUGUGGCCUAUUUAACUAUUGAUUGAUUACAUUUUUGAAGGGAAUACGAGCGGUACAAAUUUGAAAAAAUUGACAGAAAUUUCUACUUAACAAGAUAUUAGGUUGCGAUACAUGUGUAUUAUUUUACUAAUUAUGCGAAAGUUAGAAGGAAAGUACUAAUUACAAUGCAUGCUGUAUACGAUAUAAAGCU